UUAUUACAAUCACACAUAUCACAGCCCUCCCGCUCGGGUUCAUCUCCUGCGUUCUCUCGGACUCUCUCUCUCUCUAUCUCUCUCUCUCUCCUCCCUUGCUCUUCCUUCCCUGGCGGCGACGACUGGGCGAGCGGCGGCGCCAUUUGUCACGUCUUCGCCCAGCCCUUCGCCGGCGACGAGCAUCUACCAGAUAUUUGACGAUCAAGACUUGGGCUUCUUCACCAACUUUGUGGGAGUCUUCAUAUUUGUUUUGGUCACAGCAUAUCACUAUGUGAUGGCAGAUCCAAAGUUCGAAGGGAACUAACACGCGUGAGGAGAACAAGGCAUGCCAUAAGCCCGUAAUAACCGGAGCCUAAUAGCAGGCAGAAAACACAUCAGAUUAUGCCGAUCUGAAGUUGGAAAAAAUCUGGGUAUAUGAUGAUGUGAACUGGCUGUACUGCAAGUCCAUGACGGACAAUGCUACUUGCUUGUACCGUUUUUGACUGCCAUAAUAUGUAAGUAGCUGAGGGUAAAAUAAUUCCAUGACAUUUCAGAAGUGAUUCCGGAAUCCGGAAUAAUAGUCGUUUUGGCGGAUGCUUAAUAGCGUCGUAGCUAUGCGCUACUCAACUAGAACAUGUAAUUAUGCCAUCCUAAACUGUUAUCUAA